CAUAUGAGCAAUUUGUUUCUGUCAUCCAAACCGAUCGGCCAAUAGUUUUUGUUUCGUGGGACAUCAAAAAUUUCCUGUCGCACGACUCUCUCUCUCUCUCCCCUCCUCUAAUCUGAAGGCCAAAUAAAUCAUGAGGCCUUGGAUCCUUGUAGUCGGAGUGGGAUUAGUGAUCACCAAUUUACCUACUUUCUUCUCUCCUUUAGUGUGUUAAAGAUUAUCUCUUUCCAGAAUACCCGCAAGAGCCAUCACUGGAGUGUUGCAGAAUACUGGAAGUUUGGGGAGUCCCCUCUCUCUUGAGUAAGGGUGGUGUUGUGUUUGAAUAACUAAAGGCCGUUGGUUGAUUAUUUUGGCUUGCCCAAGUUGGAUUUAUCAAGUCAGGUGUUCGGGAUUUAGGCAGUCUCUUGAGUUAUCCGUUGGUGUUUCGAUUUCAGUCCUCCCCGGCUUCUCACAGUUAGUUGCAGCCCCUAUCGGUUUCAUCUUGGUGCUGCUUUGUUCAUUUAGUUGUGCCAGGGUGGUGCAACCGGUUUCUGGUUGCCGGCAGCGGUGGCUUUCAGCGUCUGGGGGCCAAAAGUUUACCCAGAAGCUGAAAUUAUCAUCGAGGGUGAUUGAUGGAAUCCAAUAGCACUGCAGUUACGAUACAAUGUGAGUUGCCGUAUUUCCACGCACACAUCAGCCCAACUAAAAAUUAUGAAAUGCUGGAAGUUCCUAAAAAUUUUAGGCUCAAACAUUUGAGAAAUGACCGAAGUCCUUUUGCCUCUCUCGUUCUAAGUGGAUCACGUCUAGUGAUAUGGAGAUGCACAAUUCAGCGCGAGGGGACUGAUAUGUAUUUCGAAGAAGGUUGGGAUGAAUUUCAUUGUGCGUGACAGGGAAAUUGUUGACGACUGUUUCAUUAUAGCUUAUGUAUUGUUGGCUCUAACCCUAGUAAUAUGUCCGGGAACAAGUAAUGACGUACAAAGUGGGUUGUUUUUGCCAUUACUAGAUACCCGCAGUGUAAUACCCUGGAAAAUCCAAAUUAAAUUCCGUGGAUUUUUAGAAAUGAUUUCACGAUAGUAGGAGCGAGUACGAAGCUUGGAGAAGUUGUGGAAUUAGUUCGAACGGUUUUAUUUUCGAAAACGAACGUUUUUAGGGGGUCAACAAAGUUGACUUUUUAUACGUUCAAAAUUUGGGAAAACUUCCUUCAUGAAAGUUGUAGAGCUCGUCGAUACGAG